rnacentral:rRNA from 1 species
GAUGAACGCUAGCUACAGGCUUAACACAUGCAAGUCGAGGGACCGGCGCACGGGUGAGUAACACGUAUCCAACCUGCCCUUUACUCGGGGAUAGCCUUUCGAAAGAAAGAUUAAUACCCGAUGUAAAGGAUGGGGCGGGGUUCCAUUAGGUUGUUGGUGAGGUAACGGCUCACCAAGCCGUCGAUGGAGAGGGGUUCUGAGAGGAAGGUCCCCCACAUCGGAACUGAGACAAGGUCCAAACUCCUACGGGAGGCAGCAGUGAGGAAUAUUGGUCAAUGGGCGUUAGCCUGAUCCUGCCAAGUAGCGUGAAGGAUGAAGGCUUAUGGGUCGUAAACUUCUUUUAUAUAAGAAUAUGUAUUAUAUGAAUAAGGAUCGGCUAACUACGUGCCAGCAGCCGCGGUAAUUC